UUAGUCACACAUCACCCCUGCCCUCCCCCAGAGCCUUAACACAAUGACCUUCUAUAAUAAUGUGUCAAACAUGUUACAGCCAAGAAAAAAAGGCAUAAACUAUCAUCCACUUCUAAAAAGAUCAAUAUUUCCCUGGUGAGAAUCAGCCAAGUCAUCCUAUUCAUAAAACAUAAUUCUUCUAUCACCCUUUCCAAUAUAGCUCUUAGAAACUUUCUUUUUCUUAUGCAUCUUAAUGCUCAGAAUAUUUAAAUUCACAACAUAUUACAGUACAGUAUUUCAUUUUAUUUUCAUCAUAGGGGUGUGCAAUAACUCACUCGAUUCAGCACACUUGAUUUUUCUGUAUCAGUAUCCAAUGCAAAUAUCUUACACGUCUAAAGGUCUUAUCACAGGCACUUCAUAUCCUCAUACAGAUUCUUCAUAUAUGCGGGCCUAUCCAAGGUCAUUAUACAUCUGCCUUGUUUUAUUUGCACUAUUUCCUCUUAAGAACAUUUUUUAAACUUCAUAUUGUGGGACAAAAGAGGCCAGGACAAGCGGCAGGAUGUUGUAUAACAUGGCAGGGGGGUUCUCAGUAUGCAGAAGAGAUGGGGGGUGUUUGCUGUGUGGGAGACACGUUAACAUCAGCAAUUCAAGGCGUGGUCAGCACUGACAUAUGCCUCUUCACUGUUGUCCAUUUAAUUAGAAAAAAAGGAUGAAUUCUCCGAUUGUAGAGCAGCAUGUAACGCAGAUAAAACGGAUAGUUUUGGGGGCAUUUUAAUACCUAAAUCUGAAAAAAAUGUGCAAAUGAGUCAAGGAUAGCAUGAUAUCAGAUUUUUCAUUGCAUCAUAUCACAUCCUUUUUUUAAUCCAUUGUUGUGGUCAACUACUUAUAUUUUUUUAAUUAAACAAAAAAAAAACACAUCACACACACACCAGUCCAGAGCACCACAUCUGUAAGCACAUAGCCUACAGAAAAGAAAAAGGGUAUUACAUUUUUGUGUACUAUAUGUAUGCAAAAUACAUCUAAAUCAACAUGUUCAGCUUUUUGUUUUGAGGGAUAAAAUGGAAUAGGAGCUAAAAGUAUGUGUUCUGAAUUGUGACUAUGUAAAUAUGUGAAUAUGACUUGAAAAUUGCCCGAGCAGUCUUCUUCAAUCUUAUGUAAAACUGCUCACGUGGUCUUCAUGAAAAUAAUAAAAUGGGCGAGGGAGGAGGUGAGAGACGCAUGUUCAUUCGUCCCUUCCUUUUACACCUCACUGGUGACUUCAUUGCAUUUCUUUCUCUUGCAGGAGGCAGCAGGGUGUGGUUUUACCCAACACAUGCAGCUUUGUACAAGAAAUAUACAGAGCUGACACUUUUUCCUUCUUGAAAUUCAACCCAAUCUAUCCGUGAGAAGUGGUGCGGGAUACAUCUGCCGCAUGAAGGGAGGCGGCUUUGUUGUGUGAACAACCAGUAGGCAGAG